GUCCUUUUGAUUUUGAUUUAAGGUCUGGCCUGCCCAAUGAUUAAUUAAAUGGCCGCAGUAUUUUGACUGUGCAAAGGUAGCAUAAUCAUUAGUUUCUUAAUUGGGAACUGGAAUGAAUGGUCGGAUGAGGGAGUUACUGUCUCAUGCUUAAUUUUUUAGAAUUUUAUUUUUGAGUUAAAAAGCUCAAAUUUUUGUUAAAGACGAGAAGACCCUAUAGAGUUUUAUAUUAUAGUAUUUAUUAUUUUUUGGUAUUUUUAGGUUUUAAUUUUUUAUAGUAUUUUGUUGGGGUGACAGAAAAAUUAAUUUAACUUUUUUUUAUUAUUAACAUUGAUUUAUGGUUAUUUGAUCCAAACUUUUUGAUUAUAAGAUUAAAUUACCUUAGGGAUAACAGCGUAAUCUUUUUGGAGAGUUCUUAUCGAUAGGGGGGGUUGCGACCUCGAUGUUGGAUUAAAAUUUAAUUCUGGUGCAGAAGCUAGGGGUUUAGGUCUGUUCGACCUUUAAAAUUUUACGUGAUC
rnacentral:rRNA from 1 species